rnacentral:rRNA from 1 species
GAUCCUGGCUUAGGAUGAACGCUAGCUACAGGCUUAACACAUGCAAGUCGAGGGGCAGCGGGAUUGAAGCUUGCUUCAAUUGCCGGCGACCGGCGCACGGGUGAGUAACGCGUAUCCAACCUUCCGUACACUCAGGGAUAGCCUUUCGAAAUAAAGAUUAAUACCUGAUGGUAUCUUAAGCACACAUGUAAUUAAGAUUAAAGAUUUAUCGGUGUACGAUGGGGAUGCGUUCCAUUAGGUAGUAGG